CCCGGAUGGCCUACUACUUCCGGCCGAAUUCCGUAGUAUGCAUAGGAUGGACACUUCUCUAUCCCAUGAGGCACCGGGAGAGGGCUCGUCAUACUCAUAUUCGAAAAUAACGGAAAAUCGGAGGAUCGUGACGCCGCUGUUUUGAAGUAGACUGAUGAACACAAUCUUGUUCUCAUCCACUGAUGAAACCCUAUUCACUGGAAAGCAUAAUUCAGUAAUCUGCUCUUGAAGAGCUGCACACGGUCGUCUGCUGUGACACAGCUGUGGUCCGUUUGUCCCGCACAUG